rnacentral:tmRNA from 1 species
GGGGGCGCAACGGUUUCGACGGGGGUAGUGAGGCAGGAAUAGCGGGUCGUGGCGCCUGACCACGAUAAAACGGGCAACUUUUUUAAAAAUUAACUGACAACAAUCAGUACGCUCUGGCUGCCUAAUUAGGCCGGCCCAUCCGCCCCGAAAGGUCCACGAGUCGGGCUCGGGUGUGAUUUUAGUGGAGAACGUGCGUGCGGUAAGCUUUGCCCGUACCAUGCAUCAAUGAAGCUACCAAAUCCGAAAGGGUGUUCGUUCCCGCUCGGAUGAGGGAAUGCAAAUAACGACCUGCACCCGGAGAAGUUCCUGUCAAGCUAUUUUCGGACGGGGGUUCAACUCCCCCCGCUUCCACCA